GCCAAAAAUCAGUGAGUUCCAUUCCAAAAAUAAUGGUGGACAUAAUAUGGCAUUUGACCUACAUAGAAAACAAAGUUCUAGUGACCUUUUCUUUGAUAAAUUCUAAGUCCUUAUUUUUUGGAGCAUAGGCUUGCAAAAGGGUGGAAAAAGAAUUUUUUGCAAGAGAUGUCUCCUUUGUUGCUCCUGCAAAAAUCUAUCAGAAACAAGUCAAAACAAGUCUUAACACGUUAAGUCAGACUUUGAAAAAAGUAAAGGCAUUCUCCCAAAAGUGAGGCAGCUGCACUGCCUAUGCCUUCUGACUCCAUCUUUCUGAGCCAAACUCUGGGCAGAAUGAAACCACUGCAUGGGGAUGGAUGGAGAAUGGGGCAGGAGACAAAGCACGUUUGUGAAAGAGACAUAGAUGGGAGAUAAGCAUGUUAGGGAUGGAGGGAUGAAUGGGAGGCAAACAUGUUAGGGGGGUGAGGGGAUCUGGAGUUUUACACAAAACCACAACAGAAAAUCUAUUGAUCACAGUUAGGCACCUACAGAGGUUAACUGUCCAAGUCACAAAAAGAAAAAAAAAAUAUAUACAUAUAUAUAUUUAAUCAAAAAAAAACCUAUUAAGCAUCCAUGAAGAAGCCACUGCAGUUCUACAGUGAGGAAGGACUGGGGGGUAUGUGUAGAUGUACUCACAGCUACCUUGCCCUUCCUAUGUCACACAACCCUAGUCUAUGACAAGUGUUCUCUGUCAUCACCUCCCCACCCCCCACACACUCCCCCCAAUAAUCCAAAACUUGAAACACCAAUGAUGAUAGAAGAAGCUCUCCUGUAAUAAUUGAUAUUUAAAUCCAAUACAGAGGUGCUAUAUAGAAGGCAGCAUCACUGACUUUGACGGCCAAAAACUCCAUAAGACUCCAUGAAAGACAGCUAACCCUUACCUAACAAGUUUUCUGUAUAAAGAUAUUCUGUACAGCACUAAUUCCUAGGUCUGAAUAACGUCUUCAGAAAUGUAACAAUAUGGAGUCAUUACACUAUGAUAACAGAUUGGAUCAGAUAAUAUCACAAGACUACUUAAUGCUGUACAUUUUUGAAAAAUGUUCCUAUCUCUAAGCAACAAAGAGGCCUUUAUUUUUUUUUCUGGUAAGGGAAGUCUUUUCUUACCAUUCUAUAUUAAAGAAUAUGUCCUACAC